AGGUGAGCUUUCAACAUGUAAACGACACUGAAGAUGGACAAGAAUGUCUGUUAAGGGUUCACAGCAUAAUCUGGAAACACGGACCAGAUCAAGCAAUUCAGACACAAGAGAAAGACUAUUCAAAGUGGUUCUCGUUCAAGAUCUCUGGCCGAG